UCUGGAGAUCCUUCUCUACAUAGCUCAUCUUUCUCCAGUAUAUUAUCCCAAAAGUAUCUGUUGCCUCAGCAGCCCUUAACUCUGAUACUUGUUUCCUCUAUCCAGCAAGAACAGUGCUUUUUUGUUCAAGCUACUUUUCUGUGCUGCAGUUUGGAGCUCAUCUCAUGUGUCUUUUCUCUCAAGGGUCACAGACCUGGGAUGUCUGUUGUGUAAUUAUUUUAAGUGAUUGAUUCACAUAUUUAUAAUUGUUUAAGGUGGAAUAGUAAGCCCAAUGCCAAUGCCAGUUGUUCUAUUGUGACUGGAAUUGGAAUUGUUCACUUUUAAAUUUUGAAGUUAUCUAUUUGAUAACAAUAUGCUUUAGAUAUUAAUUUCAUUUGAUAGAGUAAUUACUCAAGUUCCUGUGUGUCUUAAGAGGUUUUUAUCUGGGAUAUGUGUUUCAGGAUACUUUAUCAACUCUGUAUGUUAAGGAGGCUAUAGUAUUCUCAAAUUGAGUUAUUUCAAGCCAUAUUCAGCUUAAUUUAUUUUGCUUUGGAUAACUAUAUUUCAAAACCUUCUUACUCAUUUGUUUUCCCCUUGUGGGUUAAUUUUGGAGUUUAGAAUUGGUUUCUUGGUAAUAUCCUAAAAAUGCUUCAUUUUAGUGCCCAUAAGUUUUAUCCUUUGGGACCUUUCACUGUCUUAUAAUUUUCUAUAACUCUACCCUAGUUAGUUUAUUGCUAAUGGCUAAAGUGAACCUACUUGUUGAAUGACUAAAAUGGAGCUAGCUACCUAUGAACAUGCUUCUACCAAUUGUAAGGUGUCUAGUAAUUGUGAUACUGUAUCAGCAUUCCCUAGUAUAUUAAUUAGCCAGGUAUUUUUGGUGGACAUGGUGCUCUUAGUAAUUUUGGUGGAUUCUUGUGUCUCUUGAUAAACUCAUUCAAUCACGGCUAACCACUUAAAUAUGUCUUUUGCUUCCAGGAUUGUUUUUAUUUCUUUGCCAUUAAGGUAGAUGUUUUGGCUAUAGACAGACUGUUGCCAGGGUGCAAACACAUAGCAAAAUCAUGAGACUUUCUCUAAUUUAACCAGAUCUCUGAGAUGGCUUAUGUCUGACCCAAUGCUUGUUUGUAUCAUGAGGAAUGACAGUGUUCUAAUUUCAUUUUUGUUAGUAUAACAAUUUCUGCCCCUAUGGCGUAAAAUCUGAUUUACCAGGACAAUCCAACUUUUGCCUUCUCUUGGGAAAAUAUCUUCCUCUUCCUGAGAUGCCACAUGGAGGUGAACUGGAAGAAAAAGAGCAAAAACUGAAACCUGAAGAAUGGAGGCUGUCUUCAAACAAGCCCAACGGAAUUUGAGGAUGCCAGCACCUUUCCUACAUAUUUAAACUUAUCUGCAUUCCCGUUUCUGGAAUACCCUAUACCUGCAUUCUAAGUAGACUCAUGGAAGCUUCAGAGGUCAUUUAACACAUAAUGUCUCAUCUGUACAUCUUGAAGUGGUGAGUGGCUUGCCUAAGAGAACACAGAUGCUCAGUGGCAGAGCCAGAACAUGAACUCAUGCAUAAUGACCUCUGUCAUCUGGGGCCAUCCUCUGAUUUGGUACUUGUGGUUGGUACAGACUCUCUGCGCCACACCUCAUUCCACUGUGAAAGCAUUCUCAUACUGCUUCUAAUUUCAUAACUGUUAAAAAUUAUUUGGCUACGCAUAUUUCAUGCACUAUCGAGUAAAGUGAAGAGGAGAAAAAUAAAGCUACAUAAAAAAUCCAAUAAGUAAUACAUUAAAUUUGAAAGUAAACUUUGUAUGAAUAAGUUCUAAAAUAAAAAUCUUAAAAUUUUACUAUUCUUAA